rnacentral:tRNA from 1 species
GGGCCGGUAGCUCAGUGGAAGAGCGCCCGCCUUGCAAGCGGGAGGCCCGGGGUUCGAAUCCCCGCCGGUCCA